rnacentral:rRNA from 1 species
UACAGAGGGUGCGAGCGUUGUUCGGAAUUAUUGGGCGUAAAGGGAGUGUAGGCUGUUAGUUAAGUCUUCUGUGAAAUCUGCGGGCUCAGCCUGCAAAGUGCAGAGGAAACUGGCUGACUUGAGUGUCGGAGAGGGCAGGGGAAUACCCAGUGUAGAGGUGAAAUUCGUAGAGAUUGGGUGGAACACCAGUGGCGAAGGCGCCUGCCUGGCUGAUUACUGACGCUGAGACUCGAAAGCAUGGGGAGCAAACAGG